rnacentral:lncRNA from 1 species
GCACUGCAGGCGUGCAGUACACAUUCAUGCACACAGGCAAGCAUUCAUAUACACAAAAUUUUAAAAAAAUUAAAAAUGAAGUGACCCCAUGGCUGGGACCUAGCUACAAGGACUAUUUGAACCCCUCAGCACCUCAACUACAUUUGACCCUUGGCUUUCCUCCUGCAGUGCUAGACUUUUGUUUUCAAACCUCCCACAUUUUGCAGAGUUAACAAAGUGCUCCCUUCGCAUGCAUGAAGCCCUGGGUUUGAUUCCUCAGUACUGAGUAAACCAGAUAGAGUGGCCUUUGUCUGUAAUCUUAGCACUUGGGAGGUGGGGGCAGCAGGACCAGAAAUCCAAGGUCAUUCGAAGCUCCAUAGUGAGAGACAGGCCUCACAGAAUCAUCCUCUGACCUUCAUGUGCACACUGUGGGAUGUGUGUGCCCAUAUCCAUAUACAUAGUAUGAACACACAGAAAAAAAUAAAAAUAAAAACCCUGCAAUCACUGGAAAAUGGCCCCAGUCAGCGGGCCUUUUAGAACUUUUGCUAGGCCCAAUAAUACCCUGGCUGUGACCAUAACCAACUACAUUUUUACCGAGCCACUUCACGAUAGAUUUUAAAGAUGACCGUGAACAGGAUGAUCUUCCCAGUGACCUUGGUUCACUGGCCUUGGUGGCCUGUGGCCUAGUUGUCUUGCCUAAGUGUUAAACACUGUCAUUUCCUUUGUAGAAGAUAAGAAUUCUACCAUACAACUGCCGCCUGUCAUUAGAUCUUUGUCCACUGUGACAUAUAAGACAUUGAAUUGAAGGCCUUGGACACCGUUCUGGUUAAGAGGGAGGGAAGAAUAUUAACAUAAGAAUUCUAUGUUGUGUGCAUAUUCUGUCUUUAGACUUAUUUAAACCACAAACAUUUGCUUACGAGUAAGUGAGUCGAAGGCAGUGGAAAGGUGUUCAACACUCCACAGUUUGGGGAGCUGUGGAAUGGGCAUUCUGCUAACGACAACCCCAGGGAUGCCUGUCCUGAAGAUGGAAAGAUAAAAAUGGACCUCAAAUACAAAAUAGAGUUACUUCACCCCUACUUCUUGGCUCAGCCUCUUUAGCUAGGCCCACACCCCUUGCCAUGUUGAAAUAGCUUUGGAGGCAUGCUCGUUGGCCAGGGGCAUCAGCAAGCUCUGUUUACACUCUCCUGAGCAAACAGCCUCUGAACACCCUUGACUCCUAAAUAAUAAGGAAGAGAAUGAGUGCAGUAUUACAAAGUUCUUCAUUAAGCAAUACGAGCUGAUCCAGCAAGUUUGGGGGUUUCCAAUUCUUAAACGGUGAAAAUCUAGUCCGAGGGAGACUGUCUCUUCUCAGUUCUUGAUUUUCCUAUGGAUUUCUCGGGAGCCUAUGUAGGGUAUCAAUGCCAGGGCCUCUUAUCAAACUAAGGCUGCUCCUAGUGAUAGCACUGCUGCCAUGGACUAUUUAUAAAGGCUGAGCCCUCCGACCGGAUUGAAGCAGGAAGAAGGGAGACUUGGCUGGAGGUUUUAUUGAGGUGGCAGAGCACAGGGAGAGGAAACUGCUGGAGGUGUGCCAGGGCUUGGCACUCCUGUCUCAGGUUUACAAUAAUCAGGGUCACCCAGUGGAACUAAACAUCCUGGAUGCUGUUUGUCCACAUGAGUCACUCCUUUGGUGCUGUGCUGGCCCCAGCUAAUUGCCGACUGAAACCCAAACAGUUUUUUGUUUUUGUUUUUGUUUUUUUUAACAUAGUGCAACAAAUCCAAAUAAAAGGAGAGGAGCAGAAAACUGGCUCUGGUAUGGUCUGCCCUGUCCUGAGGCUGCUGUGCUAAUAGCCCCAGAGGGACUUCCCAAUCCAUACUGAAAGGCCCAGGGGGCCCUAGGAAUCUGGCAGACACAGAUUGGAAUACGAUUUGUUGAGUGAGUGAUAACUCUUGCCAUUUAGUAAGGAAUCAAGAUCAUUAACUUCUGACAGCCUCCGACUUCUGUCCUAUAAAAUGGAGGGAGUCCUGCCUAUCUCGAAGGGCUGCUGUGAGGACUGAGUUAAAACAGACAGCACGGUCAAGUUCCUCGUACAUAUUCUCAGUGUAUGGUAAGAGCUUAAGAAACACUGGCCGCAAAACAAAUCAUACACACAAAUAAUAACAUAUAAACUUUGACCUAAGGUUAACGUGUGUGGUCAGCAGGGUGAGGCAGGUGAGC